CCGCUGUCUUGUGGACGACGACUUGUAGUUUGUCUGGCUGAGUUUUAGGCUGAGGACAUAAGUGCAGAGCCGUAAUCCAGAUAAAAAAAAGCACACGGACGUUGUUUCUUUUUCACGUCGUAUAUGCUGAAAAUGGCAGGAUAUACUAAGAUUUCUGCAAAGAACCUUUGCUACAUAUGUGUAGCUUUUCUCUUGGUGUACUUGCCACCGGUAUUCUAUUUUAAUAGAGGGAACAGGAACAUUACGUCUAAACAUCCGCAUCAAGUUAAUCCUAAGCGGAAACACGUACAAAGAGGACAAAACGUCGUCACAUCAGCAUUGCACAAUCAACAACAAGAGAUAAGUAUAAGCCGGAUGACUAUUGCUUAUACCACUUCAUUGCACCUUAUCAAUGAUCGGGACGUUUUUAAAGUUGGAGAAACUCUAUUUAUUAAAAUAGUUGCCAAAGAUGCAAUGGCAAGGCCAAAAAGUUACGGAGAAGAUUUUUUCUUAGCCAAGUUAUACUCAAACUCUCCGAUACAGGCCUGCUCGCCUGGAAAAAUAAUAGACUAUGGAAAUGGAACUUAUCUCGCUAAAUUAUUUUUAUGUUGCCCAGGAAAAUUUUCCGUUUCAGUGAAGCUUAUACAUUCAAGUGAAGCUGUUCAAGUUCUCAGGAGGGCCCGUGAUACGUUUCUUGAUAGAAGGGUUACGAUUUGCGAUUUCUAUGAUGAAAAAACUAGCCGUUCGGAAUGGAAACAAUGUUCCUUUAGUCAAAACGACAGCGUGAACCCACGUGACAUCUGCGAUUUUUCCAAACGUGUACCGAAUUCUACAUUUUAUUGCGCAAGACCACGAACGAUUUCUUGUAAUUCAAUUUUACACUGCAAACGUGACUAUCAAGCCACAGAGACUCUCCACAAGAAGAUGGUUACCAGGGACGAGCUACAACUGUUAAACAGGACAAUUGAGGAUCGGGACGUUCCGACGAAAAUUAGCAUCACUGUGGAGGGAAAAGGCA